CUAAGGUGAGCGGUAAGUCCGCUGUAAGUUGUUUCUGGUGUUCCCUUCCAUCGGUAGGCCAGAGCCAGGACGACAAAAACUUGCAGGGCGCGCUCAUUUU
rnacentral:ncRNA from 1 species